GCUUAUCCCAGUAUCUGGCUUCUGUGAAGAUGGUAGGUUAUUUGAAGGUAAAUUUAUUUUUUGUAAUGAUAACUUAAGGGUUGAUUUCACAUUUCAUGCAGCUUUAUCCCAGUUAGAGAAAAAUUUGACAGCAACUACAGCUUCACAUAACUAUGAGCAGAUGAUGCCAGCUGCUGAUGCCUCAGGUGUUUUGUGCUGGUGUGAUACAGGACACUCCAAAAUCCAUUUCUUAGAUUUUAAAAUAUAUUUGCAACAUUCCACUGAACCAAAAUGGUGUGGACUAAUGGCAUUUCAACAAUCUGUCAAUUGCUGUUAUGGGAUAGUGUUCUAA